GAUGUAGAACGUAGCGAAAUGCGAUACGUAAUGUGAAUUGCAAAUUCAGUGAAUCAUCGAGUCUUUGAACGCACAUUGCGCCCCCUGGUAUUCCGGGGGGCAUGCCUGUCCGAGCGUCAUUGCUGCCCUCAAGCACGGCUUGUGUGUUGGGCCCCGUCCUCCGAUCCCGGGGGACGGGCCCGAAAGGCAGCGGCGGCACCGCGUCCGGUCCUCGAGCGUAUGGGGCUUUGUCACCCGCUCUGUAGGCCCGGCCGGCGCUUGCCGAUCAACCCAAAUUUUUAUCCAGGUUGACCUCGGAUCAGGUAGGGAUACCCGCUGAACUUAAGCAUAUCAAUAAGCGGAGGA
rnacentral:misc_RNA from 1 species